AUGAGAUCGGCUCCGCUAGGCCAUGUCCUCGAUACAGACUCACACCGACGAACGCAACCACCACCCAAGCACGACGCCAGUCUCACUCCGCCGCUGUUAGCGCCACCGUCAAACCUUUCUUCUAACACGAAUCAGUUUUCUCUGACACCGGCGUCCUCACCAGGUAUUAUCCGCUCAAGAUUUAUUGAUUGUGGUAGUUUCACUUUUCAUUGA